rnacentral:rRNA from 1 species
CGGAACACGUACGCAACUUACCCAAAACUGAUGAAUAGCCCUCCGAAAGGAGGAUUAAUACAUCGUAACCUAUUGAAGUGGCAUCACUUUAUUAGUAUAGCUCCGGCGGUUUUGGAUGGGCGUGCGGCUGAUUAGAUAGUUGGCGGGGUAACGGCCCACCAAGUCUGCGAUCAGUAACUGGUGUGAGAGCACGACCAGUCACACGGGCACUGAGACACGGGCCCG